rnacentral:ncRNA from 1 species
CGGAGUCGGGUUGUUUGGGAAUGCAGCCUCAAAGCGGGUGGUAAACUCCAUCUAAGGCUAAAUACGGUCACGAGACCGAUAGCGAACAAGUACCGUGAGGGAAAGUUGAAAAGCACUUUGGAGAGAGAGUUAAAAAGUACGUGAAACCGUCGAGAGGCAAACGGGAGGGCCUGUCGGGUCGUUCGGUCGCUUUCAGGCGGGCCGGAGACCGGGUCGCGGGAUCGGGGACCUUCGCGGGCCUCGACUCGCGUCGCCGGCCGACGGCUCGGCGCACUAGCGUCGGACGAGGGCCGCGACCGGCUGGGCGGCGGGCAAACGGCUCCGGGCAAGGUAACCCCGCUUCGGCGGGGUGCUACAGGCCCGGUGCGCGCAAGGGUCGCCGCCCGGUCGAGGAGAGAUGCGCGCCGCACCUGCCCCGUUCGCGGGGCCGGGGAAGCCGUUCGAGCAGCGUCGUGUCGCGGUCCGGGACUGUCCUCAGUCCCGGGUCGUCUCGGCGCGGUUCCGAGCGGUCGCUCCCUCGCGAGGUGCCGCGGGUCAGCGGCUGACGCCAGCCACCUUCCCGACCCGUCUUGAAACACGGACCAAGGAGUCUAACAUGUGCGCGAGCCGCGGGGCAGUACGAAACCCGUAAGGCGAAAUGAAGGUGAACGCCGGCGCGGUCCGGCGGAGGUUGGAUCCCGUCCCGUCGGGGCGGGCGCACUACCGGCCGAUCUUCUCCGCCCUGUCGGCGAGGUCGAGCGAGAGCGUGCAAGUCGGGACCCGAAAGAUGGUGAACUAUGCCUGAGGAGGUUGAAGCCAGAGGAAACUCUGGUGGAGGACCGUAGCGAUUCUGACGUGCAAAUCGAUCGUCAAAUUUGGGUAUAGGGGCGAAAGACUAAUCGAACCGUCUAGUAGCUGGUUCCCUUCGAAGUUUCCCUCAGGAUAGCUGGCGCUCUGUCGCAGUUUUAUCUGGUAAAGCGAAUGAUUAGAGGUCUUGGGGGCGAAACGCCCUCAACCUAUUCUCAAACUUUAAAUUGGUAAGAAGCCCGACUCGCUCGUUUGGAGCCGGGCAUGGAAUGCGAGUGCCAAGUGGGCCACUCUUGGUAAGCAGGACUGGCGAUGCGGGAUGAACCGAACGCCGGGUUAAGGCGCCCGACGCGACGCUCAUC